AACGCAUCUUGCGCUCCUUGGUAUUCCGAGGAGCAUGCCUGUUUGAGUGUCAUUUAAGUUCCUCAACCACAUCAAUUUUGUCUUGAUGCGGCUUGGAUGUGGGGGUUUGCAGGGUUCUUUUGAAGUCUGCUCCCCUGAAAUGCAUUAGUGGUGUCUGAGCAGAUAUACUACAGGUGUGAUAAAUAUCUACAUCCUAGUAUGCUGUGGAUUGAACCGCUUUCUAAUAGAGUGAAGGCCCCUUGAGCCUUCACAUUUGAUGAAUUUGACCUCAAAUCAGGUAGGACUACCCGCUGAACUUAA
rnacentral:misc_RNA from 3 species